GGUUACCAGGGCAGAAAGUGGUCAUGUAUCUGUGCAAAGGGUACUGACAAAUUCUUCACGCUUGGGAAUCCAGGAAGGAGGUGCGCAGGAGCAGAGGGCUUUGCUGUAUUGUCAUCUCUCCGCUUAACCCUGUGCAAAGAGAACAUUCUGGAAGGAUGGGGUCACUGGUUACUCCAUCACCUAGUUCUUCUUCAAGGAAUCCAGCUUCUUUCACUCUGGAUGCUGCCACAAUGCAGGGGACAUGGCUGCAAAUAUUUCUUGGAUGGGGUUUGUCUCACAGUAUAGUCACCAAAGAAACACUCAAGCUUCCUCUUCCUAGUUUCAAAUUUUAACAUUCUGUAAUAAAGUUCAUCACAUCCAUA